rnacentral:tRNA from 1 species
GGGGAUCUAGCUCAGCGGCAUAAGCGCCUGCCUUGCAAGCAGGCAGUCAUCAGUUCGAUCCCUG